rnacentral:rRNA from 1 species
AACGAACGCUGGCGGCAGGCUUAACACAUGCAAGUCGAACGGAUCCUUCGGGAUUAGUGGCAGACGGGUGAGUAACGCGUGGGAACGUACCCUUUGCUACGGAAUAACUCAGGGAAACUUGAGCUAAUACCGUAUGUGCCCUACGGGGGAAAGAUUUAUCGGCAAAGGAUCGGCCCGCGUUGGAUUAGCUAGUUGGUGGGGUAAUGGCCUACCAAGGCGACGAUCCAUAGCUGGUCUGAGAGGAUGAUCAGCCACACUGGGACUGAGACACGGCCCAGACUCCUACGGGAGGCAGCAGUGGGGAAUAUUGGACAAUGAGCGCAAGCCUGAUCCAGCCAUGCCGCGUGAGUGAUGAAGGUCUUAGGAUUGUAAAGCUCUUUCACCGGUGAAGAUAAUGACGGUAGCCGGAGAAGAAGCCCCGGCUAACUUCGUG